AGGUCUGGUAUUUGUAAGUCGCUCUGGAUAAGAGCGUCUGCCAAAUGACGUAAA
rfam:Salmo salar isolate Sally breed double haploid chromosome ssa07, whole genome shotgun sequence.